rnacentral:rRNA from 1 species
UACGUAGGGACCAAGCGUUGUUCGGAUUUACUGGGCGUAAAGGGCGCGUAGGCGGCUUAACAAGUCACUUGUGAAAUCUCCGGGCUUAACUCGGAACGGCCAAGUGAAACUGUCAAGCUAGAGUGCAGAAGGGGCAAUCGGAAUUCUUGGUGUAGCGGUGAAAUGCGUAGAUAUCAAGAGGAACACCUGAGGUGAAGACGGGUUGCUGGGCUGACACUGACGCUGAGGCGCGAAAGCUAGGGGAGCGAACGGG